rnacentral:lncRNA from 1 species
AAAUUAUUAAGGCAUAGUCUUUGAACUGAAUCUCACAGUCUAAUGGGAGACACAGAUAAGUAAGCAAACAGGGAUAAUAGCAAGCAAAAGCAAAGUGGAGGUGACCCAGGCAAAAACUUCAAAUUCAGAUAGAACAUAGAUCCCAGAUUCUAUGAAUCAGUUUUCCUAUAUGAAAAAAUGGGACUAAAAAUACCUUCUUAGCAUGGUUGGGAAUCUGCAACUUUGGAAUUUGAAAGGAAAAGAAAAAGGUUUCUGUAAGGAUUAAAUAAGGUAUAUACCAAGGUUUUCAUCACAGAGUAAGUGCUGAACAACAGUGAUGCAUUCAAACAAUGAUACAUCUGAAGGUGGCAGUGUGUCUGAGGUACUAACUACACCACGUAGCAUUUCUGGGCUGCUUGGUGGCUGACCGUUAUUUCCUGACACGUCUCACACAAUGCUGACUUGAGUCAGCUCUGGGCAGUGUUAAUGUUCCCAGUAGACUGAACUCCUAAGAAUUGAAUUUAGAUCAGAGAAUAGAAAUCAUUUUAUUAAAGGGCAUAGAUUUUUUUUAUAUAGUCUUUCUGUAGUGUAGAGAAAACUCUAGAGCCUCCUUUCAUCUCCUUGGAACGAAGAAAGAUUGCAAAUCUCUCUUGUUGGACUGACGAUACCUGUAAAGAACUGACUAACCUGUCUGCCUCUGAAUUUGCUUGGCUUUGGGAAGGAACAUCCAUGGAGAGGGGAUAUUUGAAGAAACACUUGUUCUGUUCCUUUCCAGCACUCCACCACCAUACACACAUUCAAAAAAAAAAAAAAAGGUGAAGCUAAUUUAAUUGGGUACAUCCUUAUCUACUUUGGAGAACAUUUUUUUUAGCCACCACAGUGAUUUCACUGUAAAGGCAAUGUGGAUGUUGGAUUUCCUAUUAUUUCUUGUCCUCUUUGAACUCAGUGUGCCCAGGUGCAUUGAAUAGAUGGGUUUCCAGUUUGUAUGAAAUGAACCUAUGGAAUAGGCUUUCCAGUUUCAGGAAGACAUGAAAUAUUUUCUACCUGCUCUGAUUGUGACUGGUGGGUGAGUCAGGUCUCAUUGCCUCCCAUGUGGGACAAGAUAGGCCACCCAGAUUGGCUUCAGGUCUCCCUUGCAUGCUUUGGAGCCCUAUGAUAGUCUUUGGGUAUCCAUUAAAAAAAGUGAUAUUUGAUCUCCGUUUUGUUCCUAGUGCCUUUAUCUACUGAUUAAAUGCUGGAGGUCAAGAGGAUAAUUAAGUGCUACUUGGACCCCCAAAAGUACUGUGUAUAUAGACAGUUCAGGAUCUGAAUGAAUGUUGAGAGGGGCUUGACUGAUGCAGAUUUUAUGGGACUUCAAACACCUAUUUUGAGGAUUUUCUUUUUAGAAAAAAAAGAAAAAAUGAGAUACAAAAGUAAAUAUUAAUUUAGACUGAAAAAUAUACCUG